rnacentral:rRNA from 1 species
AUGCAGCUAGAUUGGCUAAUCUGCCGGAAGAUUUACAACUGGAAGAGUGAAUGGAUGAUUGAGUACUUUGGCACUGAUUCAAAAUUUCAGGAACACAACCGAAAGAACACCGAUAACCGUAAGAAACAGAAGACAAAACACAGAAUUAGAUCAAAAUCUUACUCGCAACUAAGUUUUGAUAAGUAUUACUCCUCCAGGUUGCAGUAG